GUUUCACUUUGUCCAUGGCCAUGAAACAUGGGCUGAUUACUUAGCAUAUAUGGAACAAGAUGGCGCUUGGGGUGAUCACCUCAUUCUCUGUACAGCAGCAAAUCUCUUUAAAACGUGCAUUCAUGUGGUCAGCAGUUUAGACAAUGAUGUAGACAUCAGGCCACAUGAUCCUGUUGAUGAAAGCAAGCCACUAGUACUGGGACAUAUUCAUGAGGUACACUAUGUCAGUCUUCAACCCAUACAAGGCUGAAAUAAAGUUUUUCGGCGCCUAUGACUACAGACCAGGAAACAUUUACGAAGAAAGAGAACGCAACCAGAGAAAACUGCGAAAUUUUAGGAACUUCUCUCACGAAACUCUAUUUUAAGCUGAAAAAGUAAGCUUUAGAUGAAACAUAGCUUUUUAGAGGUCGCAGGUUUUUCGGUUUGGAUGAGCUUAAGUCACUGAAUCGCUAUCGAGUUUUCGUGGUUUGAUUGAAAUUUUGAUAUGGAAUAAUUCUUAACUGAUUGUAGAAAGUAAUCCUGUACUGCUUUGGUUUUCUUUAUUUCGGUCUGUGAUUGGUCUAGAAACUCUCACAACGUGUGAAACAAAGUACACGCCAAACAAAAGAGAAUCGUGACUGGUCGUUUGCCCCAAUUUUAGUACUUGGCCUGUAUUUCCUCAUUGGCUAAUAACGAUGCAAAAGUUCGUUAUUAUUGGCUGUUGUAAUUACUUUGAUUUUUGCCGGCCAAUUGAAAAUCGCUCCAAAAAAAACAAUGAAUUGCGUAUCUUUGUUCAGCAAUUAUGGAACAUCACUCAUCCAGGAUAUUCUUAUAUCUUAUUGGUGCCAUUGUACUUUGGAUGUUCCCGUUGUGUGUUGACUUUUACAAGCUGAAAUUGACGGUGUGCUUUACAUUGAAGUGCUUGGAGUGACUCACGAAAUUUGUUUUUUUGCUUAUCAUUUGCCUUUAUUACAUAUUGAAAGAAAAACAAAGCUAAUCUGCAUAGAUAAUACAUGGGAAAUAUAAAAUAGGAAAA